GUGGAAUUGAGCAGUUCAAGCAGCAUCCAAAAAUGGAAAGAGGAGUGGUGCAGUUGGGAGGCAGAGGCACGUAGAUGAUGCAUAGAGGCAUACAGAAGAAAAAAUAAAAGGUAAUGCAUCAUUUUAUGCAAUUAUAUUUUAGAACAUUGAGCAUCCUUAUGAGAACACAAUAGUAUGAUUAAUUCAAUCAAAUUAGUUUAUCUGUGGGUAAAAACCUGCAUAGGUAUUCAGCCUGAUCCUUUUGAUUUCUGCAUCCACUCCAAUUUGAUGAGAAUUUUUCAAAAUUAUUAAUAAUAAAUGACAACAGUUUUACUUUACCUACAACUGUUAAAACAUCACUC